rnacentral:lncRNA from 1 species
CUAUAUGGGUAAGUAACUUAUAUAAUUAGUACAAAGAUGUGCGAAAGCAUCAUAUACAAAAUCAAGGAAAGAAGACAAGCGGCGGAAAAUAUCAUAAGAUUUGCAUGUAAGCCAAUAAUGCUAAUAUUUAAUAAUCACUAGAGAUUGUUAUGAGAUAUGGUUUCGCUUGCGAGUUAAAGACUACAUUGCCUUGCGUCCACUAUUUGCAAAUGAUUAAGCUCCCCACUGGAAGUGCACCUAAUGGUCUAUGGAAAAAUCAGACUUUAUAUACUAAAUGAGAGAAAACUAUACGUAAUAGAAAAAUAGAUCUAUCAGCCCAAAUGAGCGGGUCACCCUGCUAGUUUUUUUGAAACAAGUACUAUCAUUGCAUAGGUUAUCAUUUAUCCAUACAGUUGCAGUUUACCUUUUCCAUGUAGGAUAUUGUUCUUACCUGAAAUUGGUAAACCAUAUGUGUUCUUACCUCAAAGUGACAUUAUAAUGCAUUCUAGGCAUCAAAGUUUACAACUGUUAAAAUAGAUGGAACAAUUAACUUUUCUCAGGGAUAUUUGACAAAGCAGGACGCAUUCUCCAUUAU